rnacentral:rRNA from 1 species
CAGUAGCCGCGGGAAUACGAAGGGGGCUAGCGUUGCUCGGAAUUACUGGGCGUAAAGGGAGCGUAGGCGGAUCGUUAAGUUGGGGGUGAAAGCCCGGGGCUCAACCUCGGAAUUGCCUUCAAUACUGGCGAUCUUGAGUAUGGAAGAGGUAUGUGGAACUCCGAGUGUAGAGGUGAAAUUCGUAGAUAUUCGGAAGAACACCAGUGGCGAAGGCGACAUACUGGUCCAUUACUGACGCUGAGGCUCGAAAGCGUGGGGAGCAAACAGGAUUAGAUACCCCCGUAGUCCCUGUCUCUUAUAC